CAGAAAACGGGGCACCCCGCAAACGGCCGCACCCCGACUUGCGCUGGAACGAGCGAGAGUGCGAGUCCUUCAUCACAUCAUUGCUGAUGCCACUUGGGAAGAUGUGGAAAGAAAAAACAACACCCUAAUAAUUGGAUUAAUGGACCAGGCCACAACUUUCAUUGAAAUGCAGUCAGUUAAACUGCACCUGGAAGCUCGGAGAUCCUGCAUUAUUAAAUAGUUAUAACACUUUGUAAUAGACCACCCUUGCUAGGCAGCCUCUGGUCUGUAUCCCCAAAUGUACUGAGAAUAAUGUUCCACCUUUAUUAGAA